AUUGAACGCUGGCGGCAUGCCUUACACAUGCAAGUCGAACGGUAACGCGGGGCAACCUGGCGACGAGUGGCGAACGGGUGAGUAAUGCAUCGGAACGUGCCCAGUAGUGGAGGAUAGCCCGGCGAAAGCCGGAUUAAUACCGCAUACGACCUACGGGUGAAAGGGGGGGAUCGCAAGACCUCUCGCUAUUGGAGCGGCCGAUGUCAGAUUAGGUAGUUGGUGGGGUAAAGGCCUACCAAGCCGACGAUCUGUAGCUGGUCUGAGAGGACGACCAGCCACACUGGGAGUGAGCCACGGCCCAGACUCCUACGGGAGGCAGCAGUGGGGAAUUUUGGACAAUGGGCGCAAGCCUGAUCCAGCCAUGCCGCGUGCGGGAAGAAGGCCUUCGGGUUGUAAACCGCUUUUGUCAGGGAAGAAGUCUUCUGGGUUAAUACCUCGGGAGGAUGACGGUACCUGAAGAAUAAGCACCGGCUAACUACGUGCCAGCAGCCGCCGUAAUAC
rnacentral:rRNA from 1 species